GACGAACGCUGGCGGCGUGCCUAAUACAUGCAAGUCGAGCGGGCCUCCGGAGGUGCUUGCACCUCCGGAAGGCCAGCGGCGGACGGGUGAGUAACACGUGGGCAACCUGCCUUUGAGGCCGGGAUAACACCGGGAAACCGGUGCUAAUACCGGAUGCGUCCCCUUUCGCGCCUGCGAGAGGGGAGAAAGACGGUCUUUAAGGCCGUCGCUCAAAGAGGGGCCCGCGGCGCAUUAGCUGGUUGGUGGGGUAAGGGCCUACCAAGGCGACGAUGCGUUGCCGACCUGAGAGGGUGAUCGGCCACACUGGGACUGAGACACGGCCCAGACUCCUGCGGGAGGCAGCAGUAGGGAAUCAUCCGCAAUGGGCGAUAGCCUGACGGUGCAACGCCGCGUGAGUGAGGAAGGUUUUCGGAUCGUAAAGCUCUGUUGUGAGGGAAGAACAGCUUCCGGAGGAAAUGCCGGAGGUUUGCCGGUACCUCACCAGAAAGCCCCGGCUAACUACGUGCCAGCCGCCGCCGUAA
rnacentral:rRNA from 1 species